rnacentral:rRNA from 1 species
CAGCAGCCGCGGUAAUACAGAGGGUGCGAGCGUUAAUCGGAUUUACUGGGCGUAAAGCGUGCGUAGGCGGCUUCUUAAGUCGGAUGUGAAAUCCCUGAGCUUAACUUAGGAAUUGCAUUCGAUACUGGGAAGCUAGAGUAUGGGAGAGGAUGGUAGAAUUCAAGGUGUAGCGGUGAAAUGCGUAGAGAUCUGGAGGAAUACCGAUGGCGAAGGCAGCCAUCUGGCCUAAUACUGACGCUGAGGUACGAAAGCAUGGGGAGCAAACAGGAUUAGAUACCCCCGUAGUCCCUGUCUCUUAUAC